UUAAAUAAAUUUAACAUUUUAAAAUUUUUUGUGCAAUUUAAUUUUAAGAAAAAAUAAUUGAUUGUGAUAUAUGAAUUUGUAUUUUAUCAAUGAAACUAAGGAGGGUGUCAUAAGAAUUUUAGAAAGGCAUUAAACGCCGCACUCUAAAUACAAUUGGCCCAUCGGGCACUGGUUGGUUCGGCUCUAGGGCUUUUACAUGGGCGCGAAGUAUUCAUGUAUCCGACCCACAGCCAGGCCCCUCGGUUACAUUUCAAGAUUUCAAAUGGGCCGAUGUCGUGUAGUUUGUGGGUUUUCAAUUUUAGCCGACGAUAAGAAUAGAUGCUAUGAUUGAAAUUCUGGAAUGUUGUCGAACAGAGUUUAUCAAGAUCACGUUGAUAUUGAUGCGGUCAAUUUUAAAUAAUAAAUUGUAAAUUGCGUGAAGAAAUUCAAGGCCGUGGUAACCGAAUUGAUUUCCGCCGCUGACAACACCUCCGCAUUUUAUGGUAUUUUUUAUACACGUGUGUUGUGAAGCUGAAGCAUGUUGCAGACGCGUGGUUUCUACUUUGCCGCUACGAUCAGACGGCAAAGAUUCUGUUUCCCAAGCUUUACCUUCUCUUUCCUUUUCCUCCUCUGGCGGUUGCGCCAAGUCUCUACCGUCAGCCCGGCUUCGCCUCUUAUAUUAUCUC
rnacentral:lncRNA from 1 species